UCAUGUCACUUUGAAACACCGGUUCGCAAAUGAUCACCGAAGUUAAGCAACAUCGACCCUGGUCAGUACCUAUAUGAGAAACCGUUUGGGAACAGCAGGUGCUGUAAG